CUCCUGGCUGGCUCGGCCAUGUUUUAGUCUGAUGCCGUCUGCGUUAUUCGACGGUGACUUCCGCGUAUCAACUGCAGUAACGGAGUUUGUGGCUUUGUGUGUCCCAUAUGGUCUAGCGGUUAGGAUUCCUGGUUUUCACCCAGGCGGCCCGGGUUCGACUCCCGGUAUGGGAAUUGUAGCUUUUGACCUGGAGGAAGCGACUUCAGUCGUAGAUAGGGCUGGGUACUGAACCUCAUUACUUUUGUGGUGCCGACCGCAAUGCUCCAUUCCUAGCAGGGAUCCAAAAACGUAUUUUCUUUCGGUGUGAAAUUCCGAUAAGCAAACAAGACUGUGAGGACAUCGGCAUCCGAGACAGCAGAGGACUGAAUGCCUGCUUCCGUAGGCAUAUAAAAUGGCAGGUUCUGAAGACAAAGUCCGUCUGCGUUUCAAGGCACCUGUAGCAUGUGCCUUAAUACUGGAUCAACUGGGAAAAGCAGAAGAGGAAGACCCAUUGUCACCAAACCUCAAGCGAAGCGGAGACCAAAGCACCCCCCGAGAUCAGGUUUGCCCCUGGGAACCACUGGGCCCAGCUCAGCAAAGCCAGACAUGCCAACUGAUGCCAUCAUGGUGGGUGUACAAGAAAAAGGAAGUACAUCUGCUCGCAGUGCUGUGAGCCUUUGUACCCCGGAAGAAGUUCUCACAGAAAUACAAUAGAGCAUCGUAACUCUUGGGGCUUUAUUUUGAAUUAAUUUGAAGUGUUGUUUGCACUAUUUUAAUUGACAUGCGUAUGAUUUUUUAGGCUUAACUUUUUAUAAAUAAAUUUGAUAUUUGGUUUGCUGUUAAAUAGUAGCACUAAAACUGGCAAUAAAAUGAGCAUCACGCUGCUUAUAUUCUGAAGCUGCUUUAACUGUCAUUUGAAGAGUUCGUUUUCACCUAUAAGUGCAUUAAUGGUGUGGUGUUUUGAAUAAAAUUUCAGCUUAUGUA